UUCCAUUAAAUCCUCAUUAGGAAGAACAGAUAGCAGAUUAUCAAGGCACUGAGUUGCAACGUCAAUCAACGCAUCAACUACAUCCUGGCACUCACUUAACGGAAACAUCCAUUUUUGAUCAUUUGUUAAUAUAAGUAAAACGUUCAUUGCAUACGUUAUUUCUUUUUCCAAAGUAGAUUGCAGGCUCAUGCACAAGGCUUGAAUGUUUACAGUCCCCAGAUCUACGAUUGAAGGCAUCUGAAGCCGAAGCAAAGAUUCAUCGAGCCUAUACGUGGCCGCGACAUUCAAGGGAUAACCCAACAUAGGAUCGAUGGGCUUUUUUAUCGGUUGAUAAGCAACGGGUUCGGCAGAAUCAACAGGAGCUGCCGAAGAAGAAGUUUGAACGGUGGGCGGAGUGGGUCGAGUCGGAGCAGAAGGGUAUGGUGGAGCAUUUCUUUCAGAACUAACUGUGGUAGGAGCAGCUGGAGAGAAACGAUUAGCGGUGAAUGCUGGGGAGGGUGACUUUGAGUGAAGUGAUCCAUGCAUAGAACCAUUGGCAUGUACAGCUUCUGGGGUGGUUUGGACCGGCUUUUGUGGAUAGUUUUUUGGUCUGCUUUGAACAUUCGCAGAAUGAUUAGCUUUUGCUUGUUGAAGUGAUUUUUGUUGCUGUUGAGCAGCAAGCCAUGCUUCUUCAUAUGGAAGCAGAUAGGAAUUGUAAUAUUGAAUUAGAAGGGAAAUAGCAUCAGGAGAUGGAAACCCCAAGGAAGCAGAAAUUUUUGGCCAAAAAUUAUGAGCUGAGACUUGUCGAGAUCCACCGGCACGCAUAACCAAGGCGUACAG